rnacentral:lncRNA from 1 species
GAGAACACAGAGCCAAGAAACUAAGAAACGAUGUCAUGUGUGAACUGCAUAUGGCAUUUAACACUGUCCCCCAUCCACUAUUAAAUGUGGUUCCAUGAAAGUCAGGUCCUCAACAGUCAGGUUAGCUAGUCCUCCCACUUUGGGGAGGGGCAAAUAAGCAAGUGGAGAGAGAAGAUGGAAGUAUUGUAUUCUUUCUUUACCAGUCAAAGUGCAAACAUGAGAAGGAGAGUAUAACUGUUCCUCCUCUCAGUUGGAAUUUCCUUACUGGGGGAAUUCAGGAAACAGGAACAUAACCAGUAAAAGAAACUUUGGCAAGACCUUCCUCAGAAUGUUUCAAGACUGGGAGAGAACAACAUCCCAAGUGGGGCAGAAUUUUAAUUUUUCUCUCUUGAAAUGUUUCCAACCUUGGAACUGCAUUCAUGGACAGGAUGGGAAGAGCUGAUGGAAGCCAAGUGGGAGAGAAAGUACAAAGGAAGAUUUCCAGAGAUAAAGAGAACAACUCCUCAGUGAGCCGGCUUGGAGAGAACAAGUGGAGGGAGGCACGUCUUCAGCCUGUCGUUAGCAGAUGUUUACUAACUCACUGUGGUACUGGAGCCAGCUGGGGCUAACUGAGGAACAUUUUCCAUCCCAGAUCCUUUGUGGUGAAAAAGAAUAAAGUAGAAAAUGAAUGGCACCAGAUUGUGUCCAUGAUUUAUCAUUUUAAUCUUGUCACCAAGAAUUGAAGAGACCCAGGCUAGGGCAAAGGAAAAGGCAAAAAUAUAUAUAUUUGACAUGAAUCAGUUAUUUGAGGUCAAUCUGGGAAGUUUUUUUAGCACAUAAAAAACGUCUAAAAGAAAGAAUAGU